AACGCGAAGAACCUUACCAGGUCUUGACAUGCCUCUGACCGCUCUAGAGAUAGAGCUUCUCUUCGGAGCAGGGGACACAGGUGGUGCAUGGUUGUCGUCAGCUCGUGUCGUGAGAUGUUGGGUUAAGUCCCGCAACGAGCGCAACCCCUAAUGUUAGUUGCCAGCACCUCGGGUGGGCACUCUAACGUGACUGCCGGUGACAAACCGGAGGAAGGUGGGGAUGACGUCAAGUCAUCAUGCCCCUUAUGUCUUGGGCUGCACACGUGCUACAAUGGCCGGUACAAAGAGCUGCGUAACCGUGAGGUGGAGCGAAUCUCAAAAAGCCGGUCUCAGUUCGGAUUGUGGUCUGCAACUCGACCCCAUGAAGUCGGAGUUGCUAGUAAUCGCAGAUCAGCAUUGCUGCGGUGAAUACGUUCCCGGGCCUUGUACACACCG
rnacentral:rRNA from 1 species